UUAAGCAUAUCAAUAAGCGGAGGAAAAGAAACCAACAGGGAUUGUCUUAGUAACGGCGAGUGAAGCGACAAAAGCUCAAAUUUGAAAUCUGGCGCCUUCGGUGUCCGAGUUGUAAUUUGAAGAAGGUAACUUUGGUUUUGGCUCUUGUCUAUGUUCCUUGGAACAGGACGUCACAGAGGGUGAGAAUCCCGUGCGAUGAGAUGCCCAAUUCCAUGUAAAGUGCUUUCGAAGAGUCGAGUUGUUUGGGAAUGCAGCUCUAAGUGGGUGGUAAAUUCCAUCUAAAGCUAAAUAUUGGCGAGAGACCGAUAGCGAACAAGUACAGUGAUGGAAAGAUGAAAAGAACUUUGAAAAGAGAGUGAAAAAGUACGUGAAAUUGUUGAAAGGGAAGGGUUUGAGAUCAGACUUGGUAUUUUGUAUGUUUUACUCUCGGGUGAGGCCUCUGCAGUUUACUGGGCCAGCAUCAGUUUGGAUGGUAGGAUAAUGACAUUGGAAUGUGGCUCUUCGGA
rnacentral:rRNA from 2 species